CCUACGGGAGGCAGCAGUGGGGAAUAUUGGACAAUGGGCGAAAGCCUGAUCCAGCAAUGCCGCGUGAGUGAUGAAGGCCUUAGGGUCGUAAAGCUCUUUUACCCGGGAUGAUAAUGACAGUACCGGGAGAAUAAGCCCCGGCUAACUCCGUGCCAGCAGCCGCGGUAAUACGGAGGGGGCUAGCGUUGUUCGGAAUUACUGGGCGUAAAGCGUGCGUAGGCGGUUAUUCAAGUCAGAGGUGAAAGCCCGGGGCUCAACCCCGGAACGGCCUUUGAAACUAGGUAGCUAGAAUCUUGGAGAGGUCAGUGGAAUUCCGAGUGUAGAGGUGAAAUUCGUAGAUAUUCGGAAGAACACCAGUGGCGAAGGCGACUGACUGGACAAGUAUUGACGCUGAGGCACGAAAGCGUGGGGAGCAAACAGGAUUAGAUACCCUGGUAGUCCACGCCGUAAACGAUGAUAACUAGCUGUUCGGGUACUUGGUAUCUGAGUGGCGCAGCUAACGCAUUAAGUUAUCCGCCUGGGGAGUACGGUCGCAAGAUUAAAACUCAAAUGAAUUGACGG
rnacentral:rRNA from 1 species